AUUGAACGCUGGCGGCAGGCCUAACACAUGCAAGUCGAACGAGUGGCGGACGGGUGAGUAAUGUCUGGGAAACUGCCCGAUGGAGGGGGAUAACUACUGGAAACGGUAGCUAAUACCGCCUACCAUCGGAUGUGCCCAGAUGGGAUUAGCUAGUAGGUGGGGUAACGGCUCACCAAGGCGACGAUCCCUAGCUGGUCUGAGAGGAUGACCAGGCACCAUGGGACUGAGACACGGUCCAGACUCCUACGGGAGGCAGCAGGGGGGAAUAUUGCACAAUGGGCGCAAACCUGAUGCAACCAUGCCGGGUGGAUGAAGAAGGCCUUCGGGUUGUAAAGUACUUUCAGCGAGGGGGAGUUACUCGCAGAAGAAACACCGGCUAACUCCGGGCCAGCCGCCGCGGUAAUAC
rnacentral:rRNA from 1 species